AUUUUUAUUCCGUUUUAGGGCUUUUUGAUUCUCUUGUAGGGUUUAUGUUGGUUUAAGAGAUGGUGUGGGCAGAUUUGGGAAUCAUACCAUCAUCUCCAUCUUCACCUCCACGUAACACACCCACUCAUCUCCUUUAUCUUCUUUUCGGGUUUUAUCUGUUCUUUUGGAGAUUUUACAUGGAUUCCGUACUAGAAACUUCUGUCCAAACAAUUCCCACCAUCGAUUUCUGCCCUAAUUUCCCCUCUAAAGAUCAUUUUCCUUGAGUUUUUAUCCAACUUCUGAUUUCAAGGUAAGGUUUCUCUUACUCUUUGUAGAAUGAUUUUAAUUUUACUCAGAUCUGUGUAGGUAUCUUUUGCUAAUUUGUUUUGGUUAUUCAUUUUGCAUCAGCUGGACUUGAACUUAUCAAAAAAUACAUUUCUUUUAUAGUAAAAGACUAAAAGAUGAAGAUACAUUAGCUUUUGUGUUCUUCUAUAUAAUGGCCUCUAUAAUUUGUUGUUUUAGUCAAUGUAUCCGUAUAGGAACAAAUUGGGAAUAUGGGAUAAACAAGGUCGGUGGCAAGUAGUAAAGUCUCAGGUAUUACUCUGAAUUGUUGUCAAAAUGGGCAUAUAUUAAUAUUGAUGUCAACUUUGGAAGCUGGACUCUUAUAAUAAUUUCUUCAGGCUUAUGUUUCACAAUCUUUUUUUUUUCACAUUAAUUUAUCUAACGAAAGUAAUGAAAUUCCAAAAGGGAAUAAUAAAAACCCCAAAGUUACAGGUUAGAUUAUUCAAGCGAGUAAAAUUACUCAAGCGAUAUUACAACAUGUAAGAUUAAUCACCAGAACCCUAGAAUGAACCCCAAAGUUAACACUUUCCUAUAUCCAACACGGCAGCACCUGUAUUUCUUGCUUCUCUUCUGCAAUUUUGUGUUAAUAUUUAAGAAAUGAUACGUAUUUUCUUUCUAUUUUGCUUUGACACCGUAAAAAUAUUCAACUUAUUUUAGUUUUAAUCUGUUUGAUAUAGCAUCACAGGUAUCUGUUAAUGAUGUUUCCUCAGCCUGCACACCAACACCACGUUGUUACCAAUACAAUAUGUUGACCACAGACUUCCCCUCCAAAAUUGUAAAAUUCAGAUGUAUUUGUUAGGGUUUUUUUAAUUAUAUAGUAGAGUUUAUCUAACUGCAACACGUCCAACGAUUUUCUAAAUAUAGAUAGGGUUUGUGGUAUGUUACCAAACUAAUUGAUUUGUGUUUCCAUUGAUGCAGUGUGAAAUUGGCUGAAGAAUAAUUAUAGCAGACGGAGGAGAAAGGGUCGAAUUGAAUCAAAUAAUAAACAAGUGAUUUAAUUAAACGUCGAAUUUUUAUUUUUAUGUAUCUAUAUAUGUGUGUCAUAGAGUGAAGAUUUUAGUAAGUUUUAUCACCUGUUGCAGUUUCCCAUAUGUGUUACAGCAUGCCAUUUGUCACUUUACACAGAACUUGUCCUAAUUUGUCGUUUAUUCAUCAACCGACUUCUUCUAUGACUGAAGUUGUUGUUGGAGAUGAUCAGAUGUGAUCUAAUCAGAUCAACAGUUUCAUGUUGAAUUUGAUGUUAUCUAAAGCUGAAUCUGAUAAUAUUUGAAAGAUUAUGCUGAUAAACUAUAAGCUACUGUUCAAGCUUAUCAGAAGUUGCUGUCUUAGACUCUCACUUUUGCACAUGUUACCUUCAUCUAUUUCGGGUUUGUAGCAGGUAUGUUUCCUUUUUUCUUAUGUGCAUUUUUUAGGACCUAUACUUUUCAAAAAUAAGAAUUAAGAUAUUGGUUGGUUUGUUUAUUUUGUUCUUAUGGUAUGGGAAUCCUGAUUCUUGUGUUUAUCCAACACAGAUACCUUUUCAAUUUAGAUCCAUCAUCCAUGUUACAUUAUGUUUUACUAAAUAGUAUAUUUCCCACUUUUUUUAUUAAUAAAUUAUAAAUGCAUGAUGAUAAUUGUGCCCAUGAAAUCCAAUUAAUUAGGUUUUUUUACUCUUAUAAGGAAAUUACUUACCACUAUUAUAGUUUCAUUUUCCAGGUUCUAAAUAUAAGAAUUUCCAUUUAUUUGUUAAUGUUUAAUGAAGACUUUGAGGUUUCCCAGGUUUGACUUUCAUUUAUCUCACCAUGUUUAUCAUGUUUCAUGUCUUUGCAACUCUGAUGCAUGCCUUUUUACUUCUAUAAAGUUUUGAUGAAGAUGUUGUUUACUCUGUUUCUGGAUUGAUGACCGAAACAUUAUAAAUAUGUCGGAUGACAUGAUUUGUUGUUUUUUUUAUAGGGACAUUGUAAUGUUCAAAAUAGAGAUAAAUUGAUCUUAAAAAUCAUUUUUAUAACAUAUAUGGAGUUGCAGACUGGGGGAGAAUGGUUGUAAAAAAAUUAGUAAAAAAUAUUUAAAGCUGUUUAUGGGAGGAAGAAAUAUAGUGAUAGAUACUAUAGAUAAAUAUAGCAAACCAAGAUGACGGGGGAAAAGAGAAGAUUUGUAGAGGGUUUCAAGGGAGGAGACAGGAACCAAAAAUGUUUAUAAUGUUUCUUAUCACUAUCAAACCUUGCUAUACUAGGAUCAAAUUUAAAAAAUGUCUCAUAAGAACUUAUUAACGUUAUGAAAAUCUAUUUCAACAUUUCACAGAAAACCUUAAGUUGCUGGUAGAAUUUUUGGCUCUUAAUCAUACAGCUACUUACAUUACUAGAUUCAUAUACAUAAUCUAUCUCUAUAUCUUAAAAGUAACCAUAUGAUUGAGUUGAUGGAUUAUAUGUUGGUUUCUUGCAGGUGCUUGCUAUUGAUGGAGGAGUCGUGAUGUUUCAGAUACCCAAGAACUUGGUUAAAUAUAGACUACAUUGCAUGAAUCACAAUUCAAAACUUUUACAUUUUUUUCAUAAAAACAUGAAAAAAAUGGUCCGGGACAAAGUUCGGGCUUUUCGUCCUUGCACUUUCUACGUCUAUCAUAUUUAUCGAUUCGGAAAAAGCUUCUGGCCUCCGCGUAGUGGGCGAAAUUCACACUUAUUGGUUAAAACUUCUAGUCACAAUGAUCAUGGGUGUUAUAAAUUGGACGUAAAAGCAGCUUUCUUCAUGGUGAAUCAAGUGAAAGACGUGUCGUGUGCUUGGAGCAAUCAAGAGGUUAUGAGAAGAGAGGAAACAACUCAUAAUCAAGUUGUAGAUGUGAUGACAGUAGAAGAUUUUUUAAUGGGAGUGUGCACUGCCAAUGAAUUAAAUUAAUUGUUGUCUUGCAGUUAGUUAGGGGAUGGAUUGUAGAGUUCUUGUUUUUGGGCCGGGUCUUGUUUUCGUUUGAAUAACAAUAAUAAUAUGUCUAUAGAAGUUUUUAAAAGUAUUUCUUUUUAUAAUUGUUAAUGUAAUUUUUACGAUAUAAAUAAAUUGGAUUCUUUAUGUUUUGUUUUA